GGAAAAUAGAAAAAUGAAAAUGUAAAAGAAAAAGAAAAUACCAUGGGCUGUCUGGACUUUUCACAUACGAAAUUGAAUCACUUCUUGACGCGCAAACUUACAGCGUGAAAUAGAUUUUCCCGUAAUCUUCAUUAUUAAAUCCUUGAUGCCGGCGCGUAAAAGCAACGACCUCGUCACACCAAGAGAUGAUAGUGCCACAGUGUAUGUUAGAUGGUAGUUUGCAUACGUGUAUAUAUAUGAGUGUGUGAGGAAGAUGGCGAUUGCCCAAAGCCUCCAAAUUCUUUAUUCCCUCUCAUCCACCGCCUUGUAUCACCCGUCUUCCCUUCCAAAACCUACCUCUCUCCUGGCUCUGUACCUCACCGUAUUUUCAUCGCCGUCGAGUUUGAGUGGUAUAUUAAUAUAAAGAAUAAGAAGAAUGCUGAUGUAAAGGGAUUUUUGAGGAUUUUGUUUUGGUGGAAGGAAUUAAUAUAAAUAAGAAGAAGAAGAACAAAGAAGAAGAAGAACGACGAUGAACAGCAAUAUUGGGCCUUUUGGAGAUACUACACUGACCAAAGUGUUUGUUGGAGGGUUAGCAUGGGAGACACCUAAGGAGGCCAUGAGAGAACAUUUUGACAAGUAUGGUGAGAUCUUGGAGGCUGUGAUUAUCUCCGAUAAGGUCACCGGCAGAUCCAAGGGCUAUGGAUUUGUGACGUUUAAGGAUGCUGAAGCAGCAAAGAAAGCUUGCGAGGACGCUAAUCCAAUCAUCAACGGCCGUCGCGCCAACUGCAAUCUGGCUUCGCUUGGUUCUCGCCGCCCGAGGUCCGGCUCUUCGGCUCCUCCUCAACAAGGAUCCAACGUUAGACCGAGGUCCACAUCAUCAGCAUCAGCCAAUCACGUGCAGUGGUACUAUCCGGCGGGUUCACCUGCAUCCCCAUUUCAUCAUCAGCACCAUCAGGCCGUUCCUUUUUAUGGGUACACCCCAACUUAUGUUGCUGCUGACGUCAGUUACAAUCACAAGCUGAGCUACACAGGCGGGUCCUACAUAAACGGGCAUUUCUCUCAGGUGUACCCAGGACAGUCUAUUAUAGGUGCCAAUGCAGUAAUGCCAAUGUACCCGCUUUAUCACUUCUAUCAAUCACAGACAAUGGGCCUACCUGCCCAUAUUUUCCCACCAACCACAGCGGGACUCAUAAACACUGUCCCCACAAUAAUGUCGAAGCCCCCAUCGAUAGCUCCUAGCUCAGGUAACAUAUACUAUACUACGCGAUGAUGAUGACGAACUGAUGAUCGUAUGGGAGCUUUUGUGUGGUGGCAUCACAUGGUAACAUAUCAUUGUGUCACGUGCCUAUGUGAUUGAGUUGGGUCCACUGCCAACUGGCACCCUUAGAAACCCACGUGCCAAAGAAGACCAAAAUGCCCUUUUAGUCAGUGUGUGUAUCCGCUUAGCUGGUUGAUGAAUGCUGGUUUUAUGUGCUUUGUUCCAUUCAUUGUCUCCACCACCUCGUGUGAUUUUAUUCACUGCCAGCUUGUGUCUUUCAAGAACCCUAACAACUUCCUUAAUUAUCAUCACUAAAUAUUAUGAUUAAUCGAGCCUGCAACCACUUAGGAUUACACUAUGAAGGACAUAUCUUUCCUAUCCUAUAUCUAUAUAUUAAAUUUUUAUAUACAAAAACUAUACCUUAAUUCUAAAUUAAUUAGAGUUAAUUAUAUAAAUUAUUUCUUGCUAUUUAAUUUUAUUAGCCAUCUUAUAAGUCUUUUUAAAUCAUUUCACUCCAUACUAUCAUAGGUCUCUCUCCUUCUCACUUCUUUUCGUGUUAACUUAUUACAUUUUUCAUCUUCGGGCAUUUGAUACUCUAUGUCGGAUAUGACUAAAUUAUUUUAAUUGGUCAUCUUUUAUUUUAUUUCUAUUAUGUGCUACAUGCAUUCUCUGAU
rnacentral:misc_RNA from 1 species